UACAUGGGGUGCAAACGUUUGUUCGGAAUUACUGGGCGUAAAGCGCGUGUAGGCGGUUAUGCAAGUCGGGUGUGAAAGCCCGGAGCUCAACUCCGGAAGUGCAUUCGAUACUGCGUAGCUAGAGUACUGGAGAGGAUGGUGGAACUCUCGGUGUAGAGGUGAAAUUCGUAGAUAUCGAGAAGAACACCGGUGGCGAAGGCGGCCAUCUGGACAGAUACUGACGCUGAGACGCGAAAGCGUGGGGAGCAAACAGG
rnacentral:rRNA from 1 species